ensembl:lncRNA
CUCCUCUUGUAAAAGCACCCAGCACUGCUGCUCCCACCAACACCUUCACGUUACACCUAUUCCAAAAUCCAUAAAAUGAACAUGUAAGACUGAAGGGUGAGAAAAUUCUUCCCUUUCAGUUCAACACUUGCUAAAGCUUUGUUACUCACCACCACUACAAUCCUCCAACUUCACCCACUCAGCCUCCUAAUCCAUGCCCAAGGGGAGCUUGGGGAAAGAAUAAAUCUAAGCAGCAUCCCACAAAGUUGACCAUCUCCUCCCUUCCUGAGCAGCUCCAGCCAGAGGCCCCUCAGCAAGCACAAGCCUACCCACCUGGGCUAAUUAUCUGUCUCAGUACAUCUGGCAGCCUAUGACUAUCUCCUCUGCUCCCUGCCUGGCUCUGGUAGAGCAGCAGGAGUAGAGGCAAAUCCCAUAUCCUGGGCUCUUCCUGAACAGAAAACGUUCCAGAAAGGGAAGACCGGCAGAAAGAUAUGUUUCCCUUGAAGAACACCAAGUUGUAACUGCAGCUUAUGAAGUACCUUUCCACCUUCUGCCAUUUUGGAAAACCUUUUCCCUUGCAUCAUCUUCAGCCCACGUAACAGAGUAUUCUAUACUUAGGUUUUCUACUCAGCUCAUGAACCUUGAACUCAGGCACAGUCCUAGCUCCACACAGGGCUCCCCUGCUGGGGACAGACCACAGUGCUUAUGAGAAAGUGACGUCCAUGGUUCACACCCUGGCACAUGAGGUUAAUCUGAAUUCAGUGGUUCAUGAUACUUGACCUAGGAAAGAAGAUCCUACCAGUCACAGAAUCAUUAAGGUUGGAGAACACCACUGAGAUCAUCUAGUUGAACCAUCAACCCAUCACCAUCAUACCAUUAAACCAUGCCACUCAGUGUGACACCUACCCUUUUCUUGAAAAUCUCCAGGAAAAGCUGAUAUAUGGGCAUUUUUGCUGACAUUCUUCCAACAAUGAUGACCUCCAUAAGAAUUUUUAGGCACCUCCUGAUGUAAAUCGCCUGAGUUGACUGUUAGAAGACACGCCAGAUCUGGAAGUACAUUUAAAAGGAAGUACUCAGUAGUAGAUUGCUUAGAAGAAUGAACAGGUGGCGUCUACCCAUCCAUCCUCCUCUGCUCACUGUCUAUAACGACACUGCAAGACAAAGGACUGUGGAUUCCCAUCCCUGGAGGUAUUCAAGGUCAGGUUGGAUUCAGCCUUGGGCAGCCUGAUCUAGUGGUUGGCAACCCUGCCUAUGGCAGGGGAUUGGAACUGGAUUUAAGGUCCCUUCCAACCCAAGCCAUUCUAUGAUUCUGUAAUUCUACAACUACUCACACAGACUUAGAGCCCACUCCAGUCACAGCUCUACAGGUGAAUCUUCACAGCCCUCCAGGUUAAAAGAGCCAACACUCAUUGCAGCUACGGUGCGCCCUGUCUCGGUAUGAUUAUGCAUCUAUCUAGGAAUUUGUUUCAUCCCUGUGCCAGACAUCCAACUGCAGAGAGCAACACUGCUUAACUGAAUGUUUCCAAUGUUAGGCACUGAAAGACAUGAUAAAAUAAAAAUGAUCUCUUUCAUUUCCCAUAGCACCUUCUCUUAGAGGGUCUGACAUGAGAAGAAUACCCUUUCUUAUGCUACUGGGCUUUGUAAUCCCAGAGAUCAACCUUCACAUAAAUGGGGAAAAGGAGGUAGACGGCACUCAUGGGAUUUCACUAAGACUAAACAAAAAGUUUACAACGGAGGCAGAAGGGAGACACAGUGCUGCAAACUUCUCUUCCACCCUUUAGACCUAGUACUACUUUUAUUUAUGAUCCUACAAUGCACAGGUCCUGCUACUCCUUCGCUGGAGAAAGGACAAAAUUACUAAGGUUUUUACACCACAUCUAAGGUGGAUACGACAAAACCUGACAUCAGACGAAUGCUUUAGUUCCAGUUUGACAACAGAUUCAUUAGAACGGUCCCAAAGAUUUGCAUCGUAAACAAAGCAAUAAACAACAAUGAAAGCUUGCAGCCUACUAAGGCUAUUCUGGGAGCCAGGACCUCAGCAGUAUCUCAGAAGGUCACAUCAGAAGGGCACACCAGCUGCUAUCAGGAGGUCUUGUGGCUACCUGGCUCUGGUUGGUGUCAAAUCCAUCCCCCGGUGCACGCCACAAAGCAGCCUGUGACUGACUCCUGUGAGUGACUCCGUGUAUUUCCAGCUCCCAUUUACUUAAUUUAGCUGCUGGCUGACGCCACACCUUCUUUCCCCAGCCACAUUCAUUACUCCAGGCCUUGAGGGAGAGCAGGGGUGCAUAUGCUGUUGCAGUCUUUUAUUUCUGGCAUGUGCCUGGAGUGCUGAGCUGGCCAAGGCACAUGGGAGAUCCCUCCCACCCCAGGGCAAAGGCUAUUUCAACCAUCCCUGGGAAGGGCCAGGAAAGGAAGCCUGCCAUGCAGACCUGGCAGCCAUCUCCAUUCCAGCUUCCAAAACCAGAGCAUGGAAGAAUUCACCUCUUAUCAGCAGUCCUGUUCCUCCUUGCAGCUCGCCCUGCAGCUUUCCAGGCUGCCUGCUGGAGUGAGAAGGGUGCAGCUCCUGGCACAGGGCUCAGAAAGGUGCGUUCACCCAGGUGCACCCAACCUGGAAGGCUGUGAUAGCAAUCACAGCCAGGCCUGCUGGUUCUGCCCCAAAUUGUUUCCAAGUGUAUUAAAACUAGGACUUGAAACAGCAAUGCCUGGCUUUGGCUUCGGCCAGUCCUUACCUGUCACCUGC